rnacentral:rRNA from 1 species
GGACUACACGGGUUUCUAAUCCUGUUUGCUCCCCUAGCUUUCGUUCCUCAGCGUCAGUAGUGGUCCAGCGCGCCGCUUUCGCCACGGGUGCUCCUGCAGAUAUCUACGCAUUUCACCGCUACACCUGCAAUUCCACGCGCCUCUCCCACACUCUAGCACAGCAGUUUCGGAAGCAGCCCCUGAGUUGAGCCCAGAGAUUUCGCUCCCGACUUGCUACACCGCCUACGAACCCUUUACGCCCAGUGAUUCCGAACAACGCUGGCCCCCUACGUCUUACCGCGGCUGCUGGCAC